GAUGAACGCUGGCGGCGUGCCUAACACAUGCAAGUCGAGCGCGUCUGAUUUGAUGCUUGCAUUGAUGAAAGAUGAGCGGCGGACGGGUGAGUAACGCGUGGGUAACCUGCCCUAUACACAUGGAUAACAUACUGAAAAGUUUACUAAUACAUGAUAAUAUAUAUUUACGGCAUCGUAGAUAUAUCAAAGUGUUAGCGGUAUAGGAUGGACCCGCGUCUGAUUAGCUAGUUGGUGAGAUAACUGCCCACCAAGGCGACGAUCAGUAGCCGACCUGAGAGGGUGAUCGGCCACAUUGGAACUGAGACACGGUCCAAACUCCUACGGGAGGCAGCAGUGGGGAAUAUUGCACAAUGGGCGCAAGCCUGAUGCAGCAACGCCGCGUGAACGAUGAAGGUCUUCGGAUCGUAAAGUUCUGUUGCAGGGGAAGAUAAUGACGGUACCCUGUGAGGAAGCCCCGGCUAACUACGUGCCAGCAGCCGCGGUAAUACGUAGGGGGCUAGCGUUAUCCGGAUUUACUGGGCGUAAAGGGUGCGUAGGUGGUCUUUCAAGUCGGUGGUUAAAGGCUACGGCUCAACCGUAGUUAGCCUCCGAAACUGGAAGACUUGAGUGCAGGAGAGGAAAGUGGAAUUCCCAGUGUAGCGGUGAAAUGCGUAGAUAUUGGGAGGAACACCAGUAGCGAAGGCGACUUUCUGGACUGCAACUGACACUGAGGCACGAAAGCGUGGGUAGCAAACAGGAUUAGAUACCCUGGUAGUCCACGCUGUAAACGAUGAGUACUAGGUGUCGGGGGUUACCCCCCUCGGUGCCGCAGCUAACGCAUUAAGUACUCCGCCUGGGGAGUACGCACGCAAGUGG
rnacentral:rRNA from 1 species